rnacentral:rRNA from 1 species
GAAACGGUAGCUAAUACCGCAUAACGUCGCAAGACCAAAGAGGGGGACCUUCGGGCCUCUUGCCAUCAGAUGUGCCCAGAUGGGAUUAGCUAGUAGGUGGGGUAACGGCUCACCUAGGCGACGAUCCCUAGCUGGUCUGAGAGGAUGACCAGCCACACUGGAACUGAGACACGGUCCAGACUCCUACGGGAGGCAGCAGUGGGGAAUAUUGCACAAUGGGCGCAAGCCUGAUGCAGCCAUGCCGCGUGUAUGAAGAAGGCCUUCGGGUUGUAAAGUACUUUCAGCGGGGAGGAAGGCGAUAAGGUUAAUAACCUUGUCGAUUGACGUUACCCGCAGAAGAAGCACCGGCUAACUCCGUGCCAGCAGCCGCGGUAAUACGGAGGGUGCAAGCGUUAAUCGGAAUUACUGGGCGUAAAGCGCACGCAGGCGGUCUGUCAAGUCGGAUGUGAAAUCCCCGGGCUCAACCUGGGAACUGC